UUGAAGGUGUGGAGACUGAAGUCCUCUGUGAAGUCCACAGGCCAGGAAUGGCGCAGGCAGUGGCAGUGCAGCUUCCACUGUCCACCCAUGUGCUCCCUCCUCACUGCAGGGCCGUGUUGGAGAGAGGGCUGUUCAGUCCCCAUGCCCUUUAGUCCUCACCUGCC
rnacentral:sRNA from 1 species